CCUACGGGGAGCAGCAGUGGGGAAUAUUGGACAAUGGGGGGAACCCUGAUCCAGCGACGCCGCGUGAGUGAAGAAGUAUUUCGGUAUGUAAAGCUCUAUCAGCAGGGAAGAAAAUGACGGUACCUGACUAAGAAGCCCCGGCUAACUACGUGCCAGCAGCCGCGGUAAUACGUAGGGGGCCAGCGUUAUCCGGAUUUAAUGGGUGUAAAGGGAGCGUAAACGGUUCUGCAAAUAUGAAGUGAAAGCCCAAGGCUCAACCAUGGGACUGCUUUGGAAACUGGAAAACUGGAGUGCAGGAGAGGUAAGCGGAAUUCCUGGUGUAGCGGUGAAAUGCUUAGAUAUUAGGAGGAACACCAGUGGCGAAGGCGGCUUACUGGACUGUAACUGACGUUGAGGCUCGAAGGCGUGGGGAGCAAACAGGAUUAGAUACCCGGGUAGUC
rnacentral:rRNA from 1 species